UUGAGAUUGAUAAAAUCAAUAUAUAGUAAUAAAUAAUAUCACAUCUAAAAGAAAUUUUAGUGAUAAAUAUCACAUUCAACUGAUUUGAUAUGAUGUAUAAUAUUUAAAUCAGAUUUGUCCCCCAUGAACUAGCUCUCAAAUACCAGAAUUUAUUAUUUGGUUGACCUUGUUGUUAUAUGAUAUCCAGAUAUCUAUUGGAUAGUAUUAGCGAUAGAAGAUAUAUCAGUCUUAAUUAUCAAAACAGCUAGGAUAGAUAGAGACACACUACUCAAUCAAAGAUUUAAGAAGGAGCUGGAGAUUUUACACUUGUACUACAUGUAUUUCUCUCUCUCUAUAUAAGCAUAUAUAGAGAAGAGAAAGGAAGAACAGCAGAGACGGCAUUGCUCCAUAUACUAGCUAGUGUUGUUCCUCUCCUAGGUAUAUAAUAAUAUAAUGGCACUCGUCAAGACGAGCAGCAUAACAAGGCCGGGCGUGCGUGUGUGUGGUGCCGUGAUUGCUGCUGUCGUUGUUGUGAGCAUGGUGCUGCCUGCUUGUUCCCUGUCCAACGACCUCGAAGAAGAAGAAGAAGAAGAAAUUGCUUGGUUGCAUGCAGCAGAUGAGGAAUUAGACGAGACGAUUUGCAACCCGGUGGUGGUGAAUAAUGGGCAGUGCGAUAUUGUGCGGUGCUCCAUAGAAUGCAUGCAGGAGGCCAGGAAGCAUCCUCGUACUUCGUGCGUGCAUGCCUCCUGCGACAGGCGUGUCCGUCCUCAGGAGUGCUGCUGGACUUUUCGCCACCGCCGUCACGUCGUCGUCGUUGGAGCGCAUCCGUGACUGCUCUAAUUCGUUAUUAUUACUUCAUGUAAUAAUUAAUUAAUGAAUCUCGCAAAAAAAAUAAUAAUUAAUUAUGAUCCGAUCAAUACAAAUUCAAUUCCAAUCCAAUCCAAUAAUAAUAAUAAUAAUAUUAAUAUUAUGGGUUGUGUUGUGCUCGCCUAGUACGUGUUGGUGUUUCACUCGGAAGCGGGCCGGGCCGGGAGCCCAGGACUCGUCGAUCGGGCGUUGGGGCGUGUUUGUUCGUCACCCACUGGGCCAGGAGCCCGGGUCUACCCCGGUACAGCCCAGGGCCUUAUUCCUCCGCUCCGGCCGGCGAGUCCCCGGAUGCGAUGUAUUGGAGCCGUUGGGGCAGGCGACGUGGCACGGGCCCAGUCCAAUCCUAUACCACAGCUAGCGCUAGCAUAUAUUCUCGGACCUUUCGCUAUUUUACCUGUGAGUUCAUCUGUCAUACAGGUUUAGAGUUAAGAUUUUUAGAUUAUAUAUACGAAGCGUAGGUACAAUUUAGAUGCUCAACUCAAAACUCGUUAGUUUGCUUAAUUUGUGACUACCUCGGCUUACCUUGUUAUAAAAAACGAGCCGAGCCAAACUAAAAUUUUAGAUCGUUAGCUACAACAAGUUAACUCGCAAGCCAAGCGAGUCAUAGUUUUAGAAAAAAAAAACUAUCAUAUUUUAUAUUAGUUUUGUAUUACCUCAUGUUUUGCAACUUAUAUGUUAGGUCAUAUAAAUAUUUAGAAAAAAUUUACAUAACUCCUCAAAUUUAGGGUUAUAUUUUAUCGCUCAAACUAUAAAACCGGAUAUUCUAUACUCUGACCUUUCAAAGCUGGUCAAAUAAUGUGCUACAUCGCCUUGGCACGAGAGUUGCCACUUGCGCACGAACGCCUCAUCGCGCGGCCGCUCGAACACCACCAUAAUGCUCAGCGGUUCAGGCACUACGGUUAGCAGCUUAUCAGCCAAAUCUGCUAGACAUUGUUAUCAGCCAAACGAACAAGGCGAAUAUAAAUAAAAAGCCAAAAGACAAGAAAAAUUGCACGAGGUAACGGUAUACGAUGAGAAAAAACUUUAAAAAGUGUAUCUUGUCAUGCAGUAACUGUAUACGAUGAGAAAAUUCUUUAAAAGUGUAUGGCCUUGUUUAGUUCCGAAAAGUGAAAAGUUUUCGGCACUGUAACAUUUUCGUUUGUUUUUGAUAAAUAUUAUCCAAUCAUGGAUUAACUAGGAUCAAAAGAUUCGUCUCGUGAUUUACAGCUAAACUGUGUAAUUAGUUUUUGUUUUCGUCUAUAUUUAAUAUUUCAUGCAUGUGCCACAAGAUUCGAUGUGACGGAGAAUCUUGAAAACUUUUAUCUUGUCAUUACUAAAAAAAUGGUUUACCGGAACUCCAUCGUUUCCGUUUCCGGUUCGGGCAUGGAUUUCCGGACUUGGUUCACAGAGCGAAGUCACCGACCAGAGCGAGUGGCGGCACUGUAGCAUGGGAUCUGAACCGCCCAUCUCAAAACACACAGUCGAAAAUAAUCCAAAGUCGGGCAUGCAUCGCUGCUGCGCGCGCCGAUCUCGGCAUUUCUUGGUGGGGUGGCGACGACUCCCCCUGGGCGAUCACCGCUUUACUCCAGCCAGGUGCCCAGGUCGUCGAGGGGCCCUUCGCCGGCGACGGGCACCCACUUGGUAUGCACACCCCUUCUUUCCCCUUCCUUCUGCUGUGCGAAAUCGACUCAAACCCUAAGGUUUGUUUGGCGAUUUUGUUUCCGAUCUGAUCAAAUUACAAGUGUUUAUAUACAUGUAUUAUGCUGUGCGUGCCUACUGACUUCGAUUUUUUCUUUUUGCAAAGAUUAUGGAGAAGAUUGGGUUGCCUUCGAUGCUGUCCGUGCGAGGCGCCACCUGGGAGGUGGAUGCACCCCACUGCCAGGGCUGUUCUGUUCAGUUUACCUUUUUUACUAGGAAGGUAAAUCAAAUUCGCCUUGCAGCGAUGGCUCACCUCCUGCUUUUUUUUCCUGCUUCGUUUGUGAAAAGUGUAGUUUAGUCCUCCUUCGUAGUCGCUUAAAACUAUCAUGCUUGAUGCAACUAUUUGUUUCAUGUGAUUCCUAAUGUUUUGGUUCAGUUACUUGUGCUCCUUGUUUACUUUACAUGCUCCACAGCCAGCGAAACUCACCUGCAAAGCAAAUUGAUAAAUGAACUUAUUUAUUAAUAAAACCAUCUGCUGGCUGUGGAAGAUACUGACCUUGAUGUUUUCUCGGUCUCAUGUCUCAUCACAGAUGAUAUUGUCGCCCUAGUUCUAGUUUUUAUCAUGACCUUACCUCUCUAGAGUUAAUUCGCAACUGACACUCAUGAAUCCCUUUGGCCGUGCUUGCCAUGAAAAUUGUUUGCCGCUGCUCAUGGCUAGAUCACAGUUUGACCGGAGCUCAAUUUAUUUUUGCUUCAAACCUUGCUGUGUGGGGGGAUCAAGAUAUGUUCUCCAUUGUUUUUCCUUUAGUCAUUUAUUGCUGGUAAAUAUGGUAUUACGGUCUAUCAUGAAGUUAUGAAACUCAAAUCUACUGUUUAGAAAUAUCUCACUUGCUUGCUUGAGUACUUAAUAUGCUUGCGUUCACCAUUUCACGGUGUUUAUGAACAUGCCAUUGGCCAUUCAGUUAAACUGUGAACUCUGUUGUAACCUUAUGGUCUUAUAAGGGGCUGUGUUAACUUUUGGAUAAAUUGAUAUAGCACCAUUGCCGAAGAUGUGGGGGCGUGUUCUGCAACAGCUGCACCCAGCAAAGGAUGGUUUUACGUGGACACCCUGAUUCACCUGUUAGAAUCUGUGAUCCUUGCAAAAAGCUUGAGGAAGCAGCACGCUGCGAAUUGAGAUAUGGACACAAAAAUAUAGCUGCGAGAUCUGAUAUGUGUUUUAGUGAAGAACUAUGAUUUGGUUGAUGCUUGAUACUGCUGUGAAUAUUGAAUUAGUGUAUUUAUGGAAAUCGUAAUAAACUGAUAAAAGUCAAGGCCUUGUUGAUAAAAAAAAAAUCAGACUAUCAGCGUGGAUUCUAUUGAAGAUGCAAUUUAUGUAUUAAUUUGGCUAUCAUCAUCAUAUAGAGCACAUUUGAUCAUGGGGUGGUCGUGUACAAAGUUCGGGCUGGUUCAUACUAUUUCAGAUUCUUUUUAAAAACAUUUAACUAUGUUUUAUGGGAGCUAUAUCUAUAUGCUCAGAAAUAGGGAUACAUUAUUGGCACUAUACAUCUAUACCCUAAUGAAUAAUAAUGGUGCUUGCAGCUUGUCACUAAUGAAGAAUUAAACAUUUCUGGCAAUAUCUUGCUCUUUCUCAGAAAUUAUUUUAUUCUAUGGUUUAUCCUUUGUUAGAAGCAAGUGCCUAACAGCCUAAUUGGUUGCAAUGAAAUAUUUUUGGUCUUCGAUAGAUUCUUCGUAGUUCUGUUUUGUAUGCAGUAUUCUGUAUCACUGUAUUGCACAUACAAAUUUGUCAAAAUAGGAUCUAUGGGAGCUAAAAAUCUUGUGGAAUUAUGUGCGGAAGAUCUAACUAAAAAACCCUUUCAUUCUGUUUCCACAGCUACCACAAAAGCAACCACAAAACCAGAAGAUGAAAUUCUAAGUGAAAUUCUUGGAGGUGAUGGAGUGCAGAUCCAGGUUUCUAGCAAGGAAUCUCUGAAUUCUGAGUUUUCUGGGAUACGUGCAAUCAGUGCCAGUUCCUCCGGAUCCAGUUCGAGAAGAACUACUGCUAAUUUGAAUAUGGACACAGAUGGAGAUGAGAAGCUUUCUGCUGAAGCACAUGAUUUUGAUAUCAACAACGCUGCAGCUGGUUUUACCCCAGAGGAGUUGCGCCAGCAAGCUGUAGAAGAGAAGAAAAGGUACAAAACUUUGAAAUCAGAAGGUAAACCGGAUGAAGCACUGCGGGUUUUUAAGCAUGGUAAAGAACUUGAGAGGCAAGCUGCAGCGCUUGAAUUAGAAUUGAGAAAGAGCCGGAGAAUGGCUACAAAAGCUCCUAAUGUAGCUGCUGCACUUAGUACCCCAACGACUGAUAGUUUUGAUGAGCCUGAAACAAAAAGGUAUUUAGCUGGGAAAAGGGUCAAGAAAGAAAAGAAUGAUCUUGCCUCUGAGCUCAGAGACCUAGGCUGGUCAGAUGCAGACCUUCGUGAUGAAACGAAGGCAGCCCCUAUGAGUGUGGAAGGAGAGCUGUCACAGCUUCUUAGAGAGGUGGCCCCUAAAUCAUCGGAGGGCAAGAAAACAGGUGGUAUCAAUAAAUCUCAGGUUAAUGCUCUGAAGAGGCAAGCCUUAUUGCUGAAGCGGGAAGGUAGACUUGCUGAAGCAAAAGAAGAGCUGAAGAAGGCUAAAAUCUUGGAAAAACAACUAGAGGAACAGGAGAUUCUGGGUGAAACAGAAGACUCGGAUGAUGAUUUGGCUGCCAUUAUUCAGAACAUGGAUGAUGAUAAGCAUGAUGGCAUAUGGAUGGAUGAUCCAAACAUCCCUGCUUUUAACUUUGAACAAAUUCUCGGUGCCUCUAAUGAUCUUGCCAUUGAUGGGCACUUUGAUGUUACGGAUGAUGACAUGAACGACCCAGAUAUGGCUGCUGCCCUAAAAUCAUUUGGCUGGAGUGAGGAGGAUGACAAACAAUUGGAACAUCAUGAGCCUGUUUCUUCUUCAAAUCAAGAUGUGCUAAAGGAGCAAAUGCUUGCUCUUAAAAAAGAAGCUGUUGCAAACAGAAGGUCUGGUAAUGUUGCAGAAGCCAUGACCUUGCUUAAGAAGGCAAAACUACUUGAGAAGGAUAUGGAAACUGAAGAGCCAGAAUCAAAGGUUGCUUCUCCAGAGGGGCAGAAAACUAUGCUUGCAGAAGAUAUCACUUUUGCAGGGACGACUGCACGACCUGUAUUGGCACAUCGAAGUAAGCUAGCAAUUCAGAGAGAACUGUUGGCUCUGAAGAAGAAGGCACUAGCUUUGAGGAGGGAAGGGAAGGUGGAUGAGUCGGAGGAAGAGCUGAAGAAAGGUAGCGUUCUAGAAAAACAGCUUGAAGAAUUUGAGAAUGCUUCCAAACCUGUAGCAAAGGAAACCAGGAGCUUUGCAUCUAAUCCCCCGUACAAGGUUGAACCCCCAAGUCUCAAUCUUGCUGAUGAUGGAUAUGAAUCUGAGGUUACGGACAACGACAUGCAAGAUCCAGCAUUGUUAUCCAUGCUGAAAAAUAUGGGGUGGGAAGAUGUUGAUACUGAUUCUGCAAAAAGAAAUGACAAACCAUUGGUUUCUUCACAUUUAGUUAUCCAGAAAUCAUCAAAAGCUAAGGUUCAGCUUCAGAAGGAAUUGCUUGGUAUAAAAAGAAAGGCUCUUGCACUCAGACGGGAAGGGAAAAACAUAGAAGCUGAGGAGGAACUGGACAAGGCUAAGGUCUUGGAGCAGCAACUUGCAGCGAUCGAAGAAUCAAAUAGCUCGACUGCUAGUCAAGGUGUUACUAAUGCUGGACAUCAGAUUAUUGAAAAUAAAUUAGAUGUUCAGCAUGUCUCUACUAUUGAUGCAACUGUACCCACAUCUUCAGUAACAAAAACAAUGAAAUGGGACGAUAUGUUGCAGGCACAUGGAUCUGAACCUGGUAUAUCUGUGGAUACUCUGGGUGAUUCUCCAAGCAAACUGCAGGUUGAGACAACUGGUUCUAAACAAAUUCAUGUGGCAAAAGAAAGUAGUGAUGGAGCAUCGUCAGCCUUGUCACGUCCAUCUUAUACUAAUUCUCUGGGAUCUGAAAAAGGGUCACAUUCACCUUCUGAACUACGUGUUCGUAAAGAGCCUCACAAAACACAUGGAGAUGAUAUUCUUACAGAUGAGAUCUUAUUUCAUAAGAGAAAAGCAGUUGCCUUCAAGAGAGAAGGGAAGAUGGCAGAAGCUAGAGAAGAACUGAAACUGGCAAGACUCUUAGAAAAACGCCUUGAAGGUGCUCAACAAGACAACAUGGAUGGUGAUGAUAACUUCAUUGCUCCUGCUGGGGGACAGAGCAUCGUGGCCCAACAACGUGCUAGUUCUAGCAUCCAAACUGAUGGUGUGGCUUCUGCCCCUCCUGCACAGGCGAGCAAGUCGACACAACCUCAGAAAGUAAUGUCCAGCCGAGACCGUCUUAAAAUUCAACGUGAAUCCCUAGCUCACAAGCGCAAUGCCCUCAAGUUGCGGAGAGAAGGAAAGAUUGCAGAAGCAGAUGCAGCAUUUGAACUGGCCAAGGCGCUAGAGAGCCAAUUGGAAGAGUCAGACAACCAAGGUUCAAGCUCCGGAGUCAAGUCAGGUGAACCAAAUGACGCGAUGGUGGAGGAUCUUCUUGAUCCUCAAAUCAUGUCCGCCCUAAAAUCCAUAGGUUGGAGCGACAUGGAUUUAUCCAUGCAAUCUUCUAGUACACAACCUCCUAAGCCCCCGCAGACUUCAAAAGGUCAGCCUACGCAGAAAGUGGAAGUGAAGCCAGCCAUUACAGUGGCCAGCAAGCCUCAGAACGAGAGAAGUCAGCUUGAAGAACAGAUCAAGGUGGAGAAACAGAAGGCACUCAACUUAAAGCGGGAAAGGAAGCAGACUGAGGCCUUGGAGGCCCUUCGCUCAGCAAAGCGACUGGAGAAGAAGUUGUCCUCACUUAGCUAACUACUACCAGAUUGUUUGUCUUCGAUGUGACAAACUAACAUUACAAUUGAAAACCCACUGAAUGUGGCCGUGAUAUAUGUAGAAUCAUAGAUAAUAUAAACUUCAAUUCAAGGCAUUUGUAUUUUGAUUGGUCCUUGGCAGUUUGUGUGAUCCUUUUGGACUCCACUAGUAACUGGUUUGUGAAUCACAAUCAAGCAGCGAUAUGGGCUUACAUAGUUGCAUUUGCAUCUAAAGUGGGCAGAACUUAUGCGUGUCAUGAAGAGACUGAGGUUUGAUGCAGAGUCAAUGUUGUGGUUUAGGGCACAUUGAGCCAAAUGUACAUAGAUUUUGCGUACAUUUACAAAACUUUGAGGCAGCAUUUGCAUUUCAUUGCUGAAGCAUAUUCUUGCUUAUCUGUGCCCUUGAAAUCUGACCCUGCAGAAAGUGUUAUGUCCUGGCCUUCUGAAAGCAACUGUACUUUCGACCCAUGUCAACUUGCUGUACCUCUUGAGGCAUCAGAGGAUACAUGCCAACCACCUAAUUAUUUCGCCAAUAUGCCAAUUCUCAUUGCAGUGGCUGGUGGCUCAAAUAGUAGUUGCUGUUGGUGGUAAGACAUUCAAAUUUAUGUACUCAUACUCACUAGUACAAUUGUGUUUCUUACAUGCAAAGUUGAUGGAGUGAGACGUUUCUAGUCACUAAUAAUUUUUCCUCUGUGAUUUUUCACAUGCAGGAUUGCUAGCAGCUAGCAUGCCAAAGGAGGAAUUAAGUGACUGAAUAAUCAACCUGGCCAGAUCCAUACAGCACGCAUCAAUAGGGAGAACUUAUGUUGUUGUUGUUGACCCAAUGAAGCAGCAGUUGGUCGCAAACCUGAGAAAUGGGAAGAAUUGCAUGAAGAGUCAAGAUCUUGUUUAAGGCCUAGUGGAGUUCAGGACAACUCUGGAGGAGAUUGUUUUGAGGAAAAGAAAGCUGCACAAGGAUUAGGUUCUUUUCUCCCUGACAACCUCCAUUAAUGUUUACCUCUGCUGUUCUUCUGAGGGUGUGUGUGUGUUGUUAUUCUCUUCUUUCUAUGAAUGAUACGCAGCUGUGUGUUUGAGGAACUUUAAAAAGACUCUGUUUAUGUUUUACCAGCGCCAUAAAAAUUGGUCAGUCAGGCUACAUAAUAAACCAUUAAGUGUAGUUGACAGAUGGAGUACCAGUGCUGUUGCCCUCAUUAUGGCAUUAUGGCUUCAGGCAUUAGCUAAGUAGUGGAUAGCGGUAUAUUAGAACUUCUGAAAAUGACUGAAAUGUUUGGUGUUGUUUCACCUAGGUGUGUUUGUUGCUUCUGGGAGAGGAGGGGGGGGGGGGGGGGGGAGGAGGAGGAGAGGAGAGAACUUCUGUUUGAGUUGCGUCAACGAACUAAGUUAUGUGAUUUGUUGAGGUUGCAUUAGUUUAUACUGUUGCUUAAUGUUUUUUUUCCAGAAACAAAUAUGUUGUUGUUCCAAAUUAAGUAUACUAGUUUUUAGGUCCAACCACGUGCAAUUUGGAUGCACAAAUUGUCUUAAUGGAUAGCUGAUACUUGAGGUAGCUGCUUACUGAAGAUGCAUACUUUAGACUUUUAUAAUUGUCUGUCGUUUGUGUGCUUAGUAAGUCAGCUUUGGAGAUUUGCAUGUAGGACGUUGCUUGAAGCAAAUUCUGUUGUGAACUGGCAGUAGUGGACUUCAUAGCAGCCGACUGAAAUGACUGUAUGCUAGUGGUUAGCAUGCAUAAGAUGGAUUUAAUUGUGUUUCAAAUUAAACCUGUGGCUGCAGUGAACAAACUUAUGUAAUUUCGAAUUUCUACUUAUUGCAUUGGUGUAUAGUGGCGCUUAAAUUUGCGCUGCAUAAGAAUAUUUUUUGUUUCAAGCUUCAGUCACUUGCAGUGGCAGGCACAAACCGUUGAUCCGCUGUUGCUUAUUAGUUGAUAUACGGUGUUACUUAUGAAGUGACCUGAGAAUUUCCUCACUUGCUAUUUGGCUUUCCGCCAGGUGCAUGCAUCGCUGAUUCGCUGCAGAAGUUGGGGGAAUACACCGAGAAGCAAUGAGGCAGCACACAGGUUGUGGAGCUGUCCAUGGAGACGGGAGAGGAUUCCGGCUCCACCAAGGCCUGUCAUUCUGUCACGGCGUCACGCCAUAGCUGACUGCUAGGGAUGAAAACGGAUCGGAUACGGACGGAUAUCACCGAUAUCAUAUUUGUUUUCACAUUUCUGGUCGGAUUCGGAUUCGAAUACGGAUAAUAUCAAUUAUGUCGGAUAAGUUAUGAUUGGAUGUCGACAUCGUAAAUAUACGAUUUAAGUAUUCGGAUACGGAUACGGUAUCGGAUGUUAAACAUUCGGACUCGAAUACGGACAGAUCUGAACCUCUCUAAACGAAUUCGGUCUCGAAUACGGUCGGAAAAUAUCCGUACCGUUUUCAUCCCUACUGAGCGAGUGGGAGCCCGGCGAGUAAGGGGUGGUUGGCCUGGUGGGCUGUUGUGGAGUAUAUAUAUAACAAAUAAAUAUAUAAAUAAAUGUCGAUGGUGCUGUUCGCCUAUCUUUGCAUGUAUCUUUGCACAAUAGCUGGAGAUCUGCAUCUGAGGGAAAGUUGAAGCAAAUUUUGCUGUGAACUAGUAGCAGGGUUUAUAUCAACUGUCUGAAUGUUAUUGCCAAGCAUCAUAUCAUACAAAUAUAAUUUGUCUUUCAAACUUGUGGUUGAGUUACCUCAAUGAACUAAGUUAUGUGAUUUGUUGAGGUUGUAUUAGUUUAUACUGGUUUCUGAGAUAAUAUACCUGCCUACCGAUUUCUGUAACAUCAAUCAAUUCAUAUGUUUGCACUCUGCACUGCAGUCAUGAAGAAAAUGAGAACUGAAAUAGUGAAUUCUGGAAAAGAGAAAGGGAAUGAAGAAAAUGAAAAGUGAAUGGAAUGAAAGAUGACGAUCAUGUCCCGGCCCAUCGUAAUUUCCUUGUCCUGUUUCAGCGGCUCGGACGUUUCUGCCAAAUGCCAACGUGUCCGGCCGCGCUUGGCGUCGUCACCAACAACACAACAGGACGGACUCCUCCAUUGAUGUCCCGUGAAGCUCGCACGUCCCCACACCCAUGUCCACCUCUCCUCUCCUCUCCUCUCCUCUCCACUCCCAUAUAUAGACUCCACCACACGCACGUCUCAUUGCAAGGACGACAUUCCCCAAAGCCAGCACUCACAAAGAGCAAAAAAAAAAAAAAAAUCACCACCCUGCAACUGCAAUAAUGGCCCAGACUAGCAUGAGGAUGGUGGCGCUGGCCCUGGUGGCCCUCCUGGUGGUGGCGGCGGCGUCGGUGCCCGCCGCCACCGCGUACGGCUGCUACGACGACUGCUACGAGCGCUGCGCCAACGGGAAGGACGACCCCGCCUGCACCAAGAUGUGCAACCAGGCGUGCGGCACCACGGAACAGGGCAAGCCCGCUGCUGCCGCCGGCGGCUUCCCGGCUUGAUCUCCCACGCAUUAUUUCAUCGGUUCAUCAGCUCCAUAAUAUAUAUGUAGUAUAAUCCCUGCUCCGUCAGCCCACAUUUGAUUUUAUCUUCCUCCUUUGAUUUCUCGACCCCAUUGAUUUUUUCUUCCCCCUCUUCUUCUUCUACUAUACUAUCAGUUUAUUAUUCUUGUGUUCAUGUCUCUGAUAUAUGAUUCGUUUUGUAAUUCCUGCAAUUUGCAAGUGAAAUGGCCUCUAUGAUUCAAGUUUCUUUUUAAAUGAUUAUUAUUGUGCCUCCGGUUUCAGUUUUGCUGUAUGUUUAACAGUAUGAACACAUCUCAAUCUGUUAGUACUACUACAUUCUGUCAAUCUCUGAUGCGAUGCGAUGGGAUGUCCCCAAUGGAAUGCAAUGCAAGAAACUAGCUAGCUAUAGCUACGUGAUGCCGCGCGCGCAUCCCCAUCCGGCCAUCCCGACGGGAAUGGGGGAUCAGGAGGAGGCCGGCGGCGGCGGCGGGAAGGGCACCUCCAGGAGCCCUUCCAGCAUCAGGAUGACGCUCCUCAUGGCGGGCCUCGCCUGUGGCUCCGCCUGCGCGCACCACACCGCCACCUUCACCGCCCGCUCCACCUCCGCGGCGUCCACGACCUCGUCGCCGCCCACCACCCGCCACACCUCGCCGCGCACCAGCCACUCGUGCGCGCACUCCAUGAGCGUCCGCUCCUCGCCGGCCUCCUCCAGCUCCAUGCUCCGGCGGCACGUGACGAUCUCCAGCAGCACCACGCCGUAGCUGUACACGUCCGCCUUCACCGUCACCGGCCCGGUGCCGCGGUACCACUCGGGGGCCAGGUACCCGCGCGUGCCGCGGACACCCGUGAACGUCCGCGUCUGGUCCGGGAGCAGCAGCUUGGCCAGCCCGAAGUCGGCGAUCUUCGCCGUCCCCGACGCGUCCAUCAGGAUGUUCUGCGGCUUCACGUCGCAGUGGAUCACCCGGCUGUCCAGCUCGUCGUGGAGGUAGUGCAGCCCGCGCGCGACGUCCAGCGCGAUGCCCAUCCGCUCGCCCCACGCCGGCGGUCCGCCGCUGCUGUUCUUGAACAGACGCUCCGCCAGCGACCCGUUGCUCAUGUACUCGUACACCAGCAGCCGGUGGGCGCCCUCGUGGCAGAACCCCAGCAGCCGGACCAGGUUCCGGUGGCUCGUCCGCCCGAUGGCGCGCACCUCCCGCUGGAACUCCACCUCCCCAUCCUCCACCAUCUUCUCCAGCCGCUUCACGGCGAUCGCCUUCUCGCCGCCGUUGUGCGGCAGCGUGCCCCGGAACACCGUGCCGAACGCGCCGCGGCCCAGCGGCUCGCGGAAGCUCCACGUCGCGUGCUCUAGCUCCUGGUAGCUGUACGACCUCAGGGGUGCCUCCUCGUCCAGGGCCGCGUCCGGCUCCGCGGUCGUCCUCCGGUUCGUCAGGACCAGCCGCGCCGCCGCCACGAGCGCGGCUAGCGACACGAACGUCAGGACCCCGAUGCAGACCAGCGCGAUGGUGGCCGAGCGCCCGACGCCGCGGCCCCCGCCGCCGCCGAACGAUGGGCUUCCCGCGGCGUUCUUGACGAACAGAGUGUACCCGCCGCCCGCGCGGCCGUAUCGGAGCGGGAGCUGCUGCUUGGUGCAGGUGCCGUCGUUGCUGUUGAGCAGAACGGCGGCGCAGAGGCAGUCGGCCACGCACGCAGCCUGGCAGUCGGCGGCGCUCGUGCCGGCGCCCAGCACCCCGUACGGUGUGUCCGCCCACGACAUGUUCUGCAUCGGGACCAUGCUAGCAGUAGCAGCAGAACCAGCCGUGGCGCAGUCACCAGCGCUUGUGGUCUCGGUGCACCCGAGCGGCGCGUUGGCGGCGUCGAUGAAGCUGAACCCCGGCGGGCACCGGCAGUCGGGUUGCGCGUCGCCGCCGAGGACGCAGUAGCUGUUGAGCCCGCACGCUCCCUUCACGUGGCACCGGUCGUCCGGCCCGAUCCACUGGACACCGGUCGUCCACGCGCCUCCCGACGCGACGGCGUGGCGGUACAGGCGGAGGACCCCGUCGGGGUCGAGCGUCACCCGGUACAAGACCUGUGUCUCGCCGGGAGACCGCGGCGCCCCGGCCCGCGUCAGGUUCUUGGUGUAGUUGCCGUUGUUGCCGGUGACGUAGAGCACACCGGUGGCGUCGAGGCGCAGGGUGAGCGGGAAGCCGAUCUGGAACGUGCCGGUGGCCCAGUACGCGGCGUCGGCGGUGUUCUCCGUCUGGACCGGGUACAGGACGAGGUUGCCGUCGUUGAGCUGGUUGGUGAGGCGGUACCUCCCCGUGGCUCUGUCGGUGAGCGAGACGCUGGAGAAGAGCUGCGCGCCGGGGACGAGGUCCUGGCCCGGGAGCAUGGUAUCGGUGGGCGCGGCGGGGGCGGCGAAGGUGGACCAGACCACGGUGCCGUUGGCGUCGUAGAGCACGAAGCUGCCGUCGUCGCGCAUGGCGGCGGCGGCGGCCGGCCGGGGUGGCACCGCGAGGGUCCUGUCUUGCCCGUCGGCGGGGCCCGUCCAGACCAGGCGGCCGUCGUAGGUGAGCCAGAGCGCUCCGCCCGUGGACGGCGUGUCGUUGCGGUUGGCCGUCCACGUGACGGUGAUGUUGGGGGAGGUGGCGAGCCAGACGCCCACGGCGAGGCCCCCGUCCGUGCCGUAGAAGCCGAACGCGAAGCGGCCCGACGGGGACGGCCAGGCGGCGCCCGCGGCCGCCUGCAGCGAGGUCCCCGAGGUGAUUUUGGUGGCCAGCUGCUGCGCCUGCGCGGCGGCACCUGGCACGACGGGCACGGAAAGAAGCGUGGCGAGCGCGAGGGACAGCAGCAGGCGGAUGGGAGCCAUGGCGCGCGUCGGCGGCCAAGCUAGCUAAAUGAACUCCACCAUAUCGAUCUGCUGAAGGAGGAGGAGGAGAGGAAUGAUGAAUUGAAUUCAUUGACCGGUAGCAUGCUGAUAAGAUUUGCUUAGUAUAUGGUCCUUGCAAGUAAACUAGAGAUUUGGUUGUGUUAUUAGUCAAACAUCGUUCCAUCAUGCGUGUAUUAAGUCCAAGCUGAAUAUGAACGUACGUACAUGAGGAUAUAUUUAGGUCACCUUUCAUAUAGGCCAAAUUGGUUUAUUUUAUAGUAUUCAUACACUUGUAGUGGUAGUGCACUAUUAUGUUUAUAUAUCUGGAAAUGCAUGCUGGACGCAUGUGUUGGCAUUGGGUCUUAUGGCAUGUAAGGAUCGGGAUGGUCGUUUAAAUGGAUAGUGCAGUUCUUCUCUAAUGUAACUAAAUAAACUAAAUAAAAAAAUUAUCUAUUUAGUUUAUUAAAUUAUAUUAGAGAAGAACCGUGGCUAUCCACUAUCCCUAUCUUAAUAAUAGCAUGCAUGUCAGCAAAUUCAGACUGUAUUCUGAUUUCGAUGUUGCAUGGGAUUGUAGUAUCGACUUUUUUUUAGAUAUAUCGACCAAGACCAUAAAAAAGGAAGGUGAUGAAAUGACUUGGAUGAAACAUUAAUUCUUUUCUUCUAUUCUAGAAAGGGGCAGUGUACUGUACCAAGUUUGAAUAUAAUUAUAAGUUCAAAAAAAGUUUGAAUAUAAUUAUUCCUACGCGAAAAAAAGAAGGCAACAUAUAUAAUCUUUUUGGGUAUUUUUUCUAGCCAUAUAGGCUCGUACAACUUGGCACACACACAGAGGGCCGUCUCUAUAAUUUUGAGGGCCCUUGUGCAAGCAAAAGGGUAAGGACUUAUCAAAUAUUUUUUUGAUAUGUCAAAUAUAAAAUAUAUAGUACAACUAAAAAGAAUUAAUUUGCACCAUAUGUUUUAGUUUAUAAAAGGUAGUUAUAGUACAACAAAUAAAUAAGUAGAAUAGAAUUAGAAAUUUAGAACUCUAUCACGGAAUACUAAUAAUAAAAUUGGUGAAGUCUCGAUCAGCUAUGCCCUUACUCUUCCUGCUCUAGUGUCUAGUAGUGACAUAGUGUGCGGACGUGUGGUGUUUGCGUGUCAGGAAGCCAUAUUGUUGCAUUGGACGAUUGGGCAAUAGGACGAGAAGACGAUAAAGAGGAACAUUGAUUUGCUCAACUAAUCGAUCAAGCGAGAAUAUGAAGCAAUACUAGCAAUCGGUGGAUGUGGAUGAUGUACUGAUUAAUGGAUUUCUUUUUUUAGAUUAAUAGAUGGAUUUCUAUAGUGUCUAUAUAAGCCUAUAAAAAAUUAGAUAAAUCUAUAUACUGAGUAUUAUAUAUAUUACAUAUAUACUUAUAGGCCCCUUAGUGCCGUGGGCCUCCGGCCGCCGCACCGGCUGCCCACCCCCUAGAGACGGCCCUGCACACACACUACUACCCCCAUCUCUCUCUUCUCUCUCUUGGCAGGCACGUGAUGGGUCCCGCUCUUUGUAUCCCCAUGUCUUCUUCCUUUUGUCAAUGUGGUCACAUGACGUCUUCCACCUAUAGAUGCACUCUCUCCUUUUCUUAGAUGUGUCAUCUCCCUCUCGCUCUCCUUAUCUUUCCCCAAUCCUGGUGGACUUAGAAGAGGCUCAGGAGAGGUAGGCCGGCCGGACAGGCAGUGUGGACAAUCGGAGGACGGCGUUAGGGUUUCCAGCGGCAUGGUAGGAAGCAACCUAGCCAAGGAAAGGUGGGAACAUCUUUGGCCAUGGCGGCGACAGGAGGGGAGAAGGGAAAGAAGGACGUCGUCGUGGGUAAUACGGUCUCGCAAGAUCUCUACCGCCCACGGUGGCAGUGAGGAGCAGGGCAAACCCAGGAGGUGGGCGAUCGACACGGACGGUGGCGAGGGAUCCGCUAGUCGAGAGCGGCGUUUGUGGAAGGUAAGGGUGGGGGCAAGGACAAUGAAUGAUGGGCCGAACACAAGGAGGAAGACCAGCGGGAACGUAGGAGAAAGGCCAGAGGAGGAAGAAGGUGACUGUGUAUUCCAUAUGCCAAUCGCAUGGCCAGCUAUGCAUUAGCCACAUCUAAUCUUUUAUUUAUUUAUUUAUUUAUUUAUUUUGAAACUUAAUUUCUAUUGAUAUAUGCUCGGCAAAUCUGGUUCUCACGUAGCUUUAAUUUUAAAAAGAAAAGGAAGAUAAGGUCCUGUUUAGUUUCCCACCCAAAAUUUUUUCAUCCAUCCCAUCGAAUCUUUGGACACAUCCAUGGAACAUUAAAUGUACAUAAAAAAAUAAACUAAUUACACAGUUUGGUUGAAAAUCGCGAGACAAAUCUUUUAAGCCUAAUUACUCCAUGAUUAGUCUUAAGUGCUACAAUAACCCACAUGUGCUAAUGAUAGAUUAAUUAUACUUAAUAGAUUUGUCUUGUAGUUUCCUGACGAGCUAUGUAAUUUGUUUUUUUAUUAGUUUUUAAAAACCCCUUCUGACAUCCUUCCGACAUAUCCGAUGUGACAUCCAAAAAAUUUUCAUCUCCAAUCUAAACAGUAGAAACGAAUAAUGGGAGUCGACAAAGGCAAUAGCAUACCCUGACUGGCUACCGCUAGCAGUAGCAGCUAGAGUAGAGCCAGAGCCGCCGGACCAGCCAGAAUUGACUUGAGCACAAUGUACACGGUGCCGUAGGAUUGUGGGAAAUCCAGGAACCUUUAGUUUUUGAGAAUUUUUGCAACAAAAAAAUCAUAUCAAAUCUUAUGGCACAUGUAUGGAGCACUAAAUAUAUAAAAUAAUUAUUAAUUAUAUAUUUUAUCUGUAAUUUAUAAGAUAAAUCUUUUAAAUCUAGUUAGCCUAUGAUUAAAUAAUAUUUGUUAAAUAUAAAAAAAGGUACUUUGUUCUCUAUUUUGUAAUCUUUUUGCAACUAAACAAGGCCUGGGAAUGGAAAGCCACAGGGGCUAUCUACGCAGUGCUGGCUAUUUAAUUUCACGACGAAAUAGGAGUGGCGUCUACGAGCGAGUGAGCUUUCGUGGGUCUCCAUGGUCCUUAGGCGUUAGUUCACCCCCAAAAGUUCUAGUUUUUUUUUAAGAUUUUUUUUUUCAUAUCAAAUCUUACGGCACAAGUAUAAAGCAUUAAAUAUAGAUAAAUAAAGUAGCUAAUUAUAUAAUUUACCUAUGAUUUGAAAGAUAAAUCUUUUAAAUCUAAUUACUUAAUGAUUGGACAAUAAUUAUUAAAUACAAACAAAAAUAAUACAGUAACCAAAUUUAAAAAUUUCCGUCAACUAAAUAAGUCCUUAAUUUGCACGACCAGGAAUCCACGAUGCAGCAGCAUCGUCAAAUUCGUCACUCGUCGUCGUCAUCCUUCCACCUCUCCGAUCCGGCCAAUUCUUCGUCCCUUCCAAGGGUGACUGACCAUGGACACGGACGACGUUGGUCAACACACCGUCUCUAGUGUCUCUUGUUAAUCACUUUUUCCAAAACAAAUAUACUGAGACUUAUUUAUGUCAUAUCUUAUAUUAUGAAUAAUGUCCGGUGGCAGCGGGCGUGAUUGAGGCUGCCACAUCAUCUCUGGCAUCCCUUCAACUUAGCGGUUCUCUUCGCUGGUGGCUACCCGCGGCAGCUAGCUUAGACUGUCGUUGCUGCUUUACUCACUCCUACUAGUCACGCAAUUGUUGUUUUACUUAGACCUUGUUUACAGUUCACCCUAAAAAUAAAAAAAAAUUUCAAGAUUCUUCAUCACAUCGAAUCUUGUGGCACAUGCAUGGAGCAUUAAAUAUAAACAAAAAUAAAAACUAAUUGUACAGUCUGACUGUAAAUCACGAGAUGAAUCUUUUGAGCUUAGUUAGUCUAUGAUUAAAUAAUAUUUAUCAAAUAAAAAUGAAAAUAUUAAAAUACCAAAAUCUAAAAUAUUUUCGAAACUAAACAAGCUAGGCCUUAGAACAAAUGUUUUAGCUCCACCGAGACAGCAUGUGCCUUGUGUUAGUGUUUACCCACAUGCUUGGUGGUAGCUCGCCAUCUCGCGCUGUUUAGGCAUGUAAUACUUUUCUAAAUUUCUCUUAAUGAAAAUCGUGCCAAGCGUGUUCCUAAAAAAAAAUAUUGUUGAAGAUAUUAUAACUUUCUUUCACUAAUAGAUAUAGAAAGUUAUAAUAUCUUCAACAAAUCUAAUCAAUCAUCAAAUCUAAAAUAUAAACGUUUAAUUUGAUUAUAUUCUUAGAAAGAAAAAAACAAAUGACAUCUACAGAGAAUGCUUAGGUCUUGUUUAGUUUUAAAAAAUUAUAAAAUAAACAUUGUAGUACUUUCUUUGUAUUUGAUAAAUACUUAUCUAAUCAUGGACUAAGCAUCUCCAAAGGCUUUGGCAAAUUGACUUGGCAUUUGUUGCUAUUUGCAAACUCCCAUAACAAGAUGCAAAGGAUAAAAAUAAGUCAUCUCCAAGGGAAUUGGCAUUUGGACUUGGCAAAGGAUAAAAAUAGAAGGUCUCCAGGCGCGCGCGCUUUCCUUGCGCGUGACUUUGCUCGCGCGAUCGGGUUUGCAAAGUCGUUCACAACUUGGCAUUUUUGCCAAGUUUGCUCCCUCAUUUGCCAAGUUGUCCAAAUUGUAAACUCCAAAUGCAAAACCGUUGGAGACCUCUUUUGGAGCUUUUUGGUAAAUUACUCAAAUGCAAACCUCAAAUGCAAAACCCUUGGAGAUGCUCAAGAUCUAUACUUGCAAAUUACAGUUAAACUGCGUAAUUAGUUCAUACAUAUGCCAUAAGAUUUAAUGUAAUAAAAAAUCUAAAAAAAAUUUUAAAAAUUUUUGGAAACUAAACCAGGCCUUAGCCAUGACCAGGACCAUGCCAUGCGUUGGCACAACGAGGUAGGUGUGCCGUAGCAACCUGGGAGUAGGUAGCUAGCACACGGGCACGAGGCUACGACGACGCCGACGAAAACGAGUGACGUCGUCGUGGCAUAUGCAUUUAUAAUGCAUUUUGUCCCCAUGCAUCGAGCGCUACUGACCUUUCGUCGAUGAUCCAUAGACCAUAUGUAGAUAAAAUAUUCAGCUUAAGGACGAGACGAAUUUAUUUGGAUCACGUUUCAAUAGACCAAAAUUUGUUAAUUUAUAUGAAAAAAAUGGUUGGCGAUUGGGAAGCUCGAAUAUGUUAUACAUCCUGUGUUCAAAUUGACAAUAAUCCUUUGUCUAUCUUAAACAAAGCUAUAAUACAGUAAAGUUCUAGAGAAGCGCUAUACUAAAGUAACUCGUGCCCAGAAAACAAAGGAUUUGAUUCUAUAACAGUGCUAUACUGCUAUGCUAAAGUACGUUACUUUUAACUAAAAUGAUAUAAAAUAACUAAUAUUUAAUCAAAUAAGUAUUAGUAGAUUUAUCGUAAAUAAUCCCUUGUUUAGUUCUAAUUUUUUUUACAAAAUAGAUAUUGUAGCACUUUCAUUUGUAUUAGAUAAAUAUUGUUCAAUCAUGGACUAACUAGGUUCAAAAGAUUCGUCUUGCAAAUUAUAGGUGCAUUGUGUAAUUAAUUUUUAUUUUCAUUUACAUUUAGUGCUCUAUGCAUGCAUCUAAGAUUCGAUGUAACGUGGAAUCUGAAAAAUUUUGUAACUUUUUUUGAAAAUUAAACAAGGCCUCAAUGGGGCCUCCAAGGCAAUUACAUAUCGUGACCGCUAUCAGAGCAACAAGAAUUGACUUGGCUCUUGAGCACACCGCACGAGUCAAACUACACACUGCUCGUGUGCCAAAGGCUAGCUCGGCUCGGUUUAUUUAUAAGCUUGAUCAGUUAACUCAUUUGACUUGCAAGUCGAAGCAUAAAAAUAUAGUAUAUAGAGAUUAUAAUCAUAACAACAAACACAUCAUGUAGAUAUUUAAAAUGAAAUAGACAAAAUACAUAUAAAUUUUACAAAGGAAAAUAUAAGUAUGUGCUAUAUCAUCGAUCCACGACCACAAUCCAUCAUCAUCUGUUAAUCAAUCCCGUUCAUUCAUACAAUAUUUAAGAAUGAAGCAAAAUAAAUGAGCGAUCGACACACCAAAAGGUGCUCACAGGAAUUUAUCAUCAACAACAACAAAAAAAUGUCGGCAUGCAAUGUGUGGUCCUAUGGAGACCAAAACAGAGAAAUCAAAACUAGAGGGGGAGCAAAGGAAUCGUCUCGCAUGUAUAUGAUGCCACGAAAAAAAUUGCGGGCUAUCCAAAAAUAGCGCUGGAUGAUUCUGACCGCUAUUUUCCGCUAUAGCGCCGCUAUAGCUCCGCUAUAGCGACCGCUAUACGACGUAGCGGUCGCGCUAUGGUGCCGCUAUAGCUCCGCUAUAGCGCCGCUAUAGCCCGCUAUUUAAAUACAGCACACAUCAGAUGAAAAGUUUAAAACUAAAAUCUCACAAGUGACAAGUAACUCACAAGUCACAACCCAUACCCAUGAUCUAAUAGUCUAUUUAUUACAAUCCAAAUUCAAAAGCAAAAGACAUAAAGCCACAAGUGACAUAGUUCGAUAAGCAACUAAAAGUCUGAAACAUAAAUGAAAUGACAAGCACUAAGCACACUUCAGGCUUAGCGGAAAAAUAGCGGCGCUAUGCCGAUAUAGCGGUUUAGCGGCGCUAUAGCGGAAAAUAACGGAGAUAGCGCUGAUAGCGGAAAAAUGACUGAUAUCGUCGCGGCGUUUUAAAUAUCCCGCUAUAGCGGCGCUAUAGCGGAAAAAUAGCCCGCUAUUUUUUUUCGGUGAUAUGAUGUCAUAGGGGUAGGCCGGUGGGGUGGGGAGAGGUUGAGUCGUGGAGUCUAUUGGUUUAGGGUUUUAAUGUUAAUCAUUUUAUAGCAUAAGUAGACGGAUAUAUAGACUGAUUAAAAUUGUUGGCUUGUUAUUUAUAUGAGCUUAUUUUAGCUCAUGAGCUAGCUUACUGACUAAACCAAGCUAGAUUUUAGGUUAGUUUGUUAAAAAAUUCAAACGAGUCGAGCUGAGCUACUAAUAAGCCGAGUCAAACGAAAAAGAUACUCCCUUAACGUAUAUGACAUGAUUAUGGUAGCCAAGAAGUGAUUAAUUAGUGGUUAGUUUUUCAUGUCUACCCGUAAUAGUUAAAUAUGAUUAUGAGUGCUCUCUGUAUAAGAAAAUAAACCAACUCAGCUGGAUUGUGUGUAGAGACUAAAGCAUUGGGUCUCAGAUUCGAUCCUUAAUGGCCACUCAGCUUGUGCGUGAGCAGGCACAACGUGCACUAAGCAUGUCUGAGUUGAUCAGACCGUCAACUAAAACAGUUAAGUUAACAGGUACGGAGGGAGUACUGUUCUAAUCCAGCCCUACGUGGAGCACCGGUGACCUUUCGUCGGUGCAUGGUCUUUUAUUUUUGCACGAUGCAUCCAGCGUCAUCUUCGAUUCGUCACUCGUCAGUCGUCGCAGCACACGCAAGCAUUUGUUCCACCUUGGUGGGCUUCUCCGAUCCGACACCGUUCCAGAGGUGACCAUGGACACGUGCGUACUAGGUCAACACACCAUCUCAAAAUCACUUUUCGCGGUAUUUAUGAAAUAUGAAGUAUCCUCAAUUAAUAUUAUUAAUUAGCUUGUAGAUUAAUAGUUUCAAAAUGAACAUAGACAAUAAAAGUAAUUAAUAGUACCUUCCACGAAUAAUAUUCAGGGAGCUGACUGGAGAAUUCAAGAGAGCAUUGAUAAUUUUUCAAAAAAAGAUAAAAUACUCGGGAAAGCAAAAUGUGUACUCUCUAUAUAUCGGAUUUAGCAAACAUUUUAGACAAGAUUUAGGUCAAACAUUGCAAAUAUAAAUCAUCAACAUGCAACUUUUAAAUUGUUGAGUUUGCAAAUGUGUAAAUUAUAUGAAUAGAUUUGUCUUGAAAAUACUUUCAUAAAAAUAUAUAUAUUUCAUUUUUUCUAAAUAUUUUUUUUUAUAAAAAUACGAGGUCAAAGUUGUGUUUUGGAGACCAUGUCGCUGUCCUCAACAACUUCUAAAUCCUAUAUAGAUGGAGUACUACUGUACAUGGCAUUGUUUAGUUCCAAGAUGAAAAGUUUUUGGAUGCCACAUCAAAUAUACCGGUACACAUUUGAAUUAUUAAACACAGACUAAUAAAAGAACAAAUUACAUAGCUCGUUUGGAAAUCGUGAGACGAAUUUAUUAAGACCAAUUAAUCCUUCAUUUAGUACUUGUGGGUUACUGUCGCAGUUAUGACUAAUCAUAUGGACUAAUUAGAAUUAAAAGAUUCGCCUUGUGAUUUAUAAUUAAACUGUGCAAUUAUUUUUUUAUCUAUAUUUGAUGUUCCUGCACGUGUUUAAAGAUUUUAAUGGGAUGAGUGAAAAAAUUUUGGACGGGGAAUUAAACGAGGCCUAGUUAUUUUUGGAACUAAACAUGGAUGCCAAAAGUUUUUGAAGUUUGACAUUGUAGCACUUUCGUUUAUAUUUGAUAAUUAUUUUCUAAUCAUAGACUAAUUAGGCUUAAAAAAUUUUGUCUAGUAAAUUAUAGUCAAAUUGUGAAAUUAGUUAUUUUUUAUCUAUAUUUAAUACUCUAUGCAUGCGUAUAAAGAUUUGAUGCGAUGAAAAAUUUUGUAAAUUUUUAGAAUUUUGGGUGCACUGAGAAUGAGGCCAUUCACUCCAGAUUGACCCGUGACCGCGACGUCCGUCUACCUACGAUGAACAGUUCUACAGAUGCCCUAGCAACCUCCCUGGCACGAGGCUACGACUGCGACGACAAAAAGGAGUGACGUGGUCGUGACAUAUGCUAAUAUCUAAUCAGGCCUUGUUUAGUUCUAAAAAAUUUACAAAACGGAUACUGUAACAUUUUUGUUUAUAUUUGAUAAAUAUUGUCUAAUUAUAAACUAACUACGCUUAAAAAAUUUGUCUUGUAAAUUACAGCUAAACUAUAUAAUUAUUUAUAUAUAUAUUUAAUACUUCAUGUAUGUACUGUAAAAUUCAAUAUGACGGAGAUCUGAAACUUUUUACAAUUUUUUUUAGAAUUAAACAAGGCCUCAAUGCAUUUUGUGUUGUAGUGUACUGUAAAAUUCAAUAUGACAGAGAUCUGAAAUUUUUUUAAAAUUUUUUUUGGAAUUAAACAAGGCCUCAAUGCAUUUUGUGUUGCAGUGGUAGGCUAUGGACCAUGCAUACGCAUGCAUGGACAGGUAGGUCAACACAGCGAUAUGGACCGUUCGUAAGCCCACUAAUGAAGCACUUCGUUGUAACUACAUCAUCGGGCUCUCGUCUCGUGUGAACCAAACAAAAAUUAUAUUUAAAGCUCUGCAUUGCUGCCUGAUGUGUUGGGUAACAAUAACAAUAACAAGCCGAGUCAGAGUCAGUUAUAAGCUGAACGAGAUAACGAAUUUUGAGUUUUUGGUCCAACUUUUGUUAAGUUGCACAACCAAUGCAAGGUGAUGGCCCACUGCUGAUGUACUGAGUUGAUACGCUGCCGGUUCCAAACCGGUCUGGGUGUAUAUAUAGGCCUUGUUUAGUUGUAAAAUAUUUUGCAAAAUGUGAAUAAUAUCAAUUUCGUUUGUAUUUGAUAAAUAUUAUCUAAUCAUGAACUAACUAGGCUCAAAAGAUUCGUUUCGUCAAUUCCGACCAAACUGUGUAAUUAGUUUUUAUUUUCGUCUAUAUUUAAUACUUCAUGCAUAUGUUUAAAGAUUCGAUGUGACGGGGAAUCUGAAAAAAUUAGCAAAAUUUUUUGGGAACUAAACAAGGCCAUAAUACUGGACGUAUAUGUCAGUGUGUUGCAUAGGUAAUAAAUAUAUUUUUGUUUUGACUACAUCAAUACAUGUUGUUUAGACUAAGUUAAAGUCUAUUUUAUGAUUUUUAUCACCAAAAUUAUGUAGACCAGGAGGAAUAUUAAAGAAAAAAUAUAAAUCAAUAUGACAAAUCUAAUGAUGUUAAGACCCAAACAACCAAUGCCCAAAGCCAUGCAUGUUCUGCCGUUAGUAAGGAGGCGAUGUGGCAGCUUCACGUGUCUCUGUGCUUCGUAGGGCGUAGCAGAGCUAGCAGUCCGUCGGAUCGAGAGGUCGUAGCUCAUACGUAGUACACUGCGCGGGGCUGAACGUACAUGUUGUUGUUUUGUUGCCCUUGGCCAAUGGUGCCGAAGCUAGCCCUACCUUGUCACGUACGUACGUGUUCUAGUAGAUCAUCUUUAAGCUAGUGACAAAGCUCACGUCGAAGGUCUCCGAGUUUAAUUGUUGUCUGUGUCGCGACGCAUACCGAUCGAGUCGAUGAUCACCGGCGUGUCUGCAUUAUCAUAUGGGCACCAGUGGUGUGGUGACGACCAAACCGCUAAGGAGGUGGUGGAUCGAGACGGCCACCACCAUCAACAAGGGACAGUAGUGCCAGUGCACUGGUUAUUGAUAUAAAGUAUGUUUAUUUUUUUUUUUACAUACAUGACAUAGUACUUGAUGUUUCUGUUUCGCAAAGUGGAUCCGGACUUUAUGGGAGCGUGUUGUUGUUCUUGUUGUUGUUGUUGUUGUGAGUUUUUGGCUCUAGCUAGCAAAUUUUUUCAUGUAAAGUAUUUUCCUUUUUUUUUAACGAACUAGAUCCGGACACUAGGAGAGGUUUUUUUCCGUGCAUGUUUGCACGUGGGCAUGCAGGAUUUAGUGUGGUAUGGAUAAAGAUUAGAAACAGUACAGUGGUUUUUGUUGUCGUAUAUGUUUAGAUUUCAGAAAUGUUUUUUUUUUUUUGCCGUGAGGUUUUUUUAAGUGGCAGUAGAUUCUUUGGAGUUUGGAUGCUGCUGCUGCUUCCAUGACACGAUUUUGUUAACCAAAAUGUCGUUCGAUUUUGUUAAGACUGGGCUCAGCGCAUGCGGCACCACCUUCAGGCCCACUCACGUCUACUCCGCCUGAACCGGCCCAUAAUCCCAGUUGCGAUGAAAUUCGCCCGGCCCGCUUCAAUUCACUAAUCUUCUCUUAGUGGUGACUGGUGAGAAUUAAUCCAAGGGCGUCAGAGUUGAAAAACGUACCAUCUUCUUGAGACAUAGACAUAUAUCUUUUUUCCCUAUAAUUUGCGUGAUCUAUGUAGGGCAUGCAGAUGAUAGUCUUGCGAGAUUACUUGCUUUAACAAUUUUAGUUUUUUUCCCUCCUGGGGGAAGUUGCUAAGCACAUAAAAUUUGUUAUUGUCUUCGCACAUUUAAUUAAAGGGCCAAAAGUCUUACAAGGCUCGAUUGUGUGCGUAGGGAUAUUUGAAUUCAACAUUAUAUAUGCUCCUGCAUUCUUCUCCCUGCAGGCUGCAGGUUCAGAUUUUGAAAGGGGGUACAUGUUUAUUUGUUGGGCACCUUCCUUCACUAGCUUUUUCCUUUGAUCCAGACAUGCGUGACUUCAAUUUCUUCAUAAAACAAAGUGUUCUCGUUCUGAAUUGUGGAUUUUUUCCUCUUUAACUGAAGUUGUUGAAAGCAUGCAGUUGCUGGGUGUUUGGUCCUACUACUGCUGCUGCUACCAGCUGCAGCAGUUGGUGGUAACACAGUUUAAAUGUUGCAAAAUUUGUAGGAAAAGCCAUAUUUAUAAUGAAAUUUUGCGCAUAAUACUCUGCUGUGAAAACCAGAUCAUGAAAAUGCAGUGGUACGCUUCUCCCAAUCGGCAUAUCAAUUCCAAUUUUGUUCCAGAAUUCGACAGCAAAGUAGCACUCGCUGAUGAUGUGUUCCGGAGAUUCAGGCUGAAGGCCGCAGAUUUCACAAUCCACAACAUGCUUUAUAAUUUGAACAGGUUGGAGCGACACUGAAUUCUCCUUUUGAGUGAGUAGCCAACGUGGUGGAGCUUUGCUCUUCCAAAUGCAGAAGGGUGAUAGGCUCUUGUCAGUGCAGUCGUCCAAGAGGGAACGAACGGCCUGAAGCUCUGACAUAAUAAUCUGCUGACGAAAGAGCUUUGUUUGUGGCAACAGCAUUUUUGGACAGUGUGCCAUCCCUGACAGUGCAGUGACUGAAUAGAAUGGGGAACGUUUCCGCCAGUGCGCCGUCACCGCACCAGACAUGACAUCCAACCAGAAGAGGGUGUUUCUGCCAUUCCCGAUUUGGACAGUGUGGUAAUGGCUUUGGUACAGCGGGAGUAUAAAGCGCAGAGUUUCCCAGUGCGCACCCUGGAGCUGGAGAUCACCUUGGUUGGAUUGGAGUGUUGCCAGACAAGCUCGUUGUCUCACCCACCACUGAGCCCAAGCAGAAGAAUCUCGCGCUGCUGGUCUGCAUCGGGGUCCUGACGUUCGUGUCGCUAGCCGCGCUCGUGGCGGCGGCGCGGAUGGUCCUGACGAACCGGAGGACGACCGCGGAGCCGGACGCUCAUGGAGUGCGCGGCGAGGUGAUGAGGCACCUGAAGCAAAUUUUGCUAGGCGGUGGUACAAUAAUUUAUUUAUUUUCAUAAUGUAGAUAUUAGUGUUAUUUAUGAAAUAGAAUAGUACUAAUAGCUAUUAUCGACAAUUAAUGAUACAUAAAUUCUACUAGUUCAAGGUCAAAUGUUUUGAUUGUUGUGAAAAACUUUAGACCGAAUGCAUGUCUAAAAUAUCAUAGCUCUCAAUUGGAAGGGGGUAGUAUCAUGCCAAACUGAGACUCUGGCGGUUUUGCACACAGAAAGAGCGGCAAGCAGCUAAGGCUCACGCGCGCGUCUUUGUGUUCCUCCUCCGUUCCUACGCGAAUUGGAUAGAGUUGAGGCUGGCCUGGCCAUGUCAAAAGCUAGCACAAGAAGUCGAUCGUCGACAGAAGAUGCAUGCUCCCCGGCCGCGGCCGGCCAUUAGCUCGAAACAAAAAGCCAGAAGGCAAUGCAAGCUGCGCUAGCUGCAUGCCUGGCCUUUUGUCUAUGGCGGCGCACGGCAUGAGGAAAGUGGGCGCACGAACAGAGACGCCAUGACCACGAUGAGACAAAUUUAAAGAGGAGGACGUGUACUAUUAAUUUCUUAGCUUGUCAUCCCAAAAUUAAACAACUAGUCGCUCAUUUUCUGCAUGCAUGCAUGGUCCGGCCGCGGCCCGCGCACAACGACCGGCUAUUUCCCUUCCCCAGCGAAGCGAUAGAUCGAGCACGGAUUGGAGUCCGGCCGGCACGGCAGCGCCCGCCCGCGCGGCGCGUGCGUGUCGUCCAACUGCACUGCAUGCAUGCCAGCCCGGCCGAACGCACGGACGAUAUCGAUCGAUGGCGCUUCGCAUCACGCACACGAAACCUUGCCGUGCGGGCUGCUGGCUCUAGGCUAGCUAGCUGCAUGCCCCUGCCCGGCCCUUUAAGUACCGGAGGACGGAGCUAGCAGCAUUGGGAUCGAUCGAGGAGCAAUAUCAGUACAACCUGCAGUGCAGGUGAUAAAAAGAUCGAUAAUGGCGUUGUUGCUGUCGUCGCUGGAGGCUUUGGGGCGGAGGAGGAACGUGGCCGGUCCGCUGCUGCUGCUCAACCUCGCCCUCUACGUCUCCAUGUUGGGGUUCGCGAGCUGGGCGCUCAACACCUUCGUCGACCACGACAUAGCCGGCGCCGACCACGAAAAGGAAUACUACCCACCUGCAGGUCCGUCGUACACGUCAACUCAAUGCGUGUAGUUUUUAUAUAUCUAUAUCUAUAUACAUACUCAACUCAAUGCGUGUAGACGACGCGUGCAUGUGCAUGGGCACGCCUGCAGGAGCGGCGCCGCGCAGCGCCGGCGACGAGGCGACGCUCCACUUCAUCCAGUUCGCGCUGCUGGCCGCCGUGCUAGGAACCGCAGCCAAGGCCGCGGCGGCGUUCCACGCGCGCGCGUCGUGGCGCCCGCAGGGCCUCGCGGCCGCCGCGGCCCUGGCCACCGUCGCGUGGGCGGCCACCGCGCUCGCGCUCGGUCUCGCGUGCAAGGAGAUGCGGGCCGCCGCGGCGGCGCGCGGGUGGCGGAUGCGCGCGCUCGAGGCGCUCACCGCGACGCUGGCCGUCACGCAGCUCGCGUACGUGCUCAUGCUGCACCGCGCCGCCGCCGACUCCGACUCCGACGUCGACGCCGACACCCACGCCUACGCUGCCGCUGGCGACGACCAGUGCGAGCCUGGCUGCUCCACCGCUACCGAGGGCGACGACGUCGACUGCCAGGACCAGGACGCGCAGCAGCAGCAACAUGGCCGCCACCACCACCACCACCACAGGCAGGGCGGCGGCGGGCCCUCGUGCAAUGUCAUGUGAACUAGCUUACCAUGCUUGGUGUUGUCACUCUCUUGUCUUGUCAUUUUCCGUGCUCGUGUUUCGUCGCGUGGAAAAUAAGCAAUUUAAAGCUCAGUUUCCUGUCUCAUAUAUGUUCCUUUCCUGUCUGUCAGUAUGUGUAUGUGUUCGUGCCUGUCAGCAUGUGUAUGUGUUUGUGCUGUGUAUUGUGAUGUCCAUUUGCUGCCACGCAUGUUCCCCUUGUGCAUGGCAGUUGAUGUCAAAUUAAUAAAAGGA
rnacentral:lncRNA from 1 species